GUGCUUGCUUCUGCAAUACAUAUACUAAAAUUGGAGCGAUACGGAAAUUACAAUGCCCUUGUGCAAGGAUGACACACAGAUUUAUGAAGCAUUCCAUAUUUUC
rnacentral:snRNA from 1 species